UAGGGAAUCUUCGACAAUGGACGGAAGUCUGACCGAGCAACGCCGCGUGAGUGAAGAAGGUUUUCGGAUCGUAAAGCUCUGUUGUAAGAGAAGAACGAGUGUGAGAGUGGAAAGUUCACACUGUGACGGUAUCUUACCAGAAAGGGACGGCUGACUACGUGCCAGCAGCCGCGGUAAUACGUAGGUCCCGAGCGUUGUCCGGAUUUAUUGGGCGUAAAGCGAGCGCAGGCGGUUAGAUAAGUCUGAAGUUAAAGGCUGUGGCUUAACCAUAGUAGGCUUUGGAAACUGUUUAACUUGAGUGCAAGAGGGGAGAGUGGAAUUCCAUGUGUAGCGGUGAAAUGCGUAGAUAUAUGGAGGAACACCGGUGGCGAAAGCGGCUCUCUGGCUUGUAACUGACGCUGAGGCUCGAAAGCGUGGGGAGCAAACAGGAUUAGAUACCCUGGUAGUCCACGCUGUAAACGAUGAGUGCUAGGUGUUAGACCCUUUCCGGGGUUUAGUGCCGUAGCUAACGCAUUAAGCACUCCGCCUGGGGAGUACGACCGCAAGGUUG
rnacentral:rRNA from 1 species